GAUGAACGCUGGCGGCGUGCCUAAUACAUGCAAGUCGAGCGAACCACUUCGGUGGUGAGCGGCGAACGGGUGAGUGACACGUAGGUGAUCUGCCCAUCAGACGGGGACAACGAUUGGAAACGAUCGCUAAUACCGGAUAGGACGAAAGUUUAAAGGUGCUUCUGGCACCGCUGAUGGAUGAGCCUGCGGCGCAUUAGCUAGUUGGUAGGGUAAAGGCCUACCAAGGCGACGAUGCGUAGCUGACCUGAGAGGGUGAACGGCCACACUGGGACUGAGACACGGCCCAGACUCCUCCGGGAGGCAGCAGGAGGGAAUCUUCGGCAAUGGGCGAAAGCCUGACCGAGCAACGCCGCGUGAAUGAUGAAGGCCUUCGGGCUGUAAAAUUCUGUUAUAAGGGAAGAACGACUUUAGUAGGAAAUGGCUAGAGUGUGACGGUACCUUAUGAGAAAGCCACGGCUAACUACGUGCCAGCAGCCGCAGUAA
rnacentral:rRNA from 1 species